GCUUCAUCAAAGACUGUGAGAUAGG
rnacentral:piRNA from 1 species